rnacentral:lncRNA from 1 species
AGCCCCUCUCCUCAACCCAUGUCCAAGUUUGUUCUGUUCACGCAUACAUAUCUGGACACAAAUAAUUAACAAGCAAAACAGCUGAACAUGGCAAACUUGCACAUUUCAUGGCUUCUUCUAGCUCAAUGCCUGUUGCUAGUCACCAGAAUUACUGCCAAAGUCCCAGCAGUCGUCGUGUUCGGGGACUCUUCGGUUGAUGCUGGGAACAACAAUCAGAUUCCCACAAUUGCCAGGAGUAACUUUCAGCCUUAUGGCCGGGACUUUUCCGGUGGCAAGCCGACUGGGAGGUUCUCCAACGGCAGAGUGCCUACAGAUUUCAUCUCCCAGGCUCUUGGACUCAGACCAUUCAUACCUGCCUACUUGGAUCCUUCCUAUAACAUAUCAGAUUUUGCCAUUGGUGUCACCUUUGCUUCCGCUGGGACUGGCUAUGAUACUGCAACUUCAGAUGCGCUGGUAAGUACCAAAUAUUUAGCAUAAAGCUUCUCUUGUCUCACACACAUUUAAUAUCGAGUAAUGCUACACUUACCGCAUUUUUAUCCUACAUUUCUAUACCACAUGAUGUGGCAUGUCCAUAUCAUAUGCCACAUCAAUUAAAUCAAUUAAGUGUAUUUUAAUAAAGAAAGUUUAAUUGAUAAUUUUUUUUUAAAGUGUUAAUAAAUCAUAGAAGAAUGGAAAAUUUUAAAUAAUUAUAAUUAAUAUGUAGCUGUCCACCUCAUCUGCCAUAUAAGGUAGUAUAAGAAUGUGGUAUACAAAUGUGCUAAGAGUAGCAUUAUUCUUUAAUAUCAUAUGGGCUACAUAUAUGGAUUAGGCCAGUUGACCAGGACAAUGAGCUCGCUUCUUUGCACCUAAGUUCGAAACUUCCUCCCCAUAAAUUAAAUUAAUUUAAUAUUACCUCUUGUAUAAAAAAUAAAAAUAAAAAAUCAGAUGGCCUUUACCCUUACCUCUUACUCUGCAUGUGGUGUUCAUAAUUGGACUUGAAUGUUUAUCUUUACCCCUUACACAAUACGUGGUGUUCACAUGUUGGGCUUGAAUGUUUGACUCCGAUGUGGACUUGACUUCACAUGUAGCCCAUUAUAUGGUAGUCCCACGUGACGGGGCGUGUUGAAGAAUAUGAGUCUCAUAUCGGAAACUUGACAAAAAAAAAUACAAAAUACAAUGAAUGGUUCCACUACUAAUAUAACCGAGGCCUUUUGUGAUACAACCUCAUACUUACUGGGUUUUGUAGGUAGUUAAGUUGGGGACAAUAUCGAUGUUGCUAGUAGUGAGCCGAUGACCCAUCUUUCUACAAUUUAACAGUAGAUUGAUAUUGGAUACUAGCCAAUCAGUGUCCAUUCCAUCAAUAUCAUGUUCAAUUUUCCUUUUUUUUUAAAAUUAAAAUCCCAGUUCAUCAUUUGUCACUGCCUUAAUUUGCAGUCUGUGAUACCACUAUGGAAGCAGCUGGAGUACUACAAGGAAUACCAGAACAAACUGAGACUUUAUCUUGGAGGAAACAAAGCAAACGAAACAAUCAAUGGAGCUUUGCACAUUAUGAGCUUAGGCACCAAUGACUUCCUGGAAAACUACUACUCAUACCCCGGCCGGUCAUCCCAAUACUCUAUCCAACAGUACCAAUAUCUUCUCAUUGGAAUUGCAGGAAAUUUCAUCAAGCAACUCUACCAUCUUGGAGCCCGGAAAAUCUCCCUCGGAGGUCUGCCUCCGAUGGGGUGCUUGCCAUUGGAGAGAACCACAAACAUCAUGGGUGGAAAUGACUGCAUUGAAGAUUACAACAAUGUGGCUCUGGAGUUCAAUGGCAAGUUGAAUGGCUUGACCACAAACCUCAACAAAGAGCUUCCUGGUCUCAAACUUGUGUUUUCAAACCCAUAUUACAUUUUCCUGCAGAUGAUAAGAAGACCUUCUUUGUAUGGUAAGUCAGUGACUUGUAUUAAGUGUGCUCUGUUGCAAAUGUUUGACCCAACCACUACACAAAAACUUUAGAGCACCAUAUUUCUCACUUUAGCAUUUAAGUAUUCACAUUCUUUUGGGUGGUGGAUAUCAUGUGAUUUUUAUUUGUAGUUUCUAUAUGUAGUUUUUUCUCCCCGGUUGAAGUUAGAGAAUUUGUACGUGUGUUAAACUGUAAUUUAUCUGAUUAAAUUCUCAUGUGACUGACAGGAUUUGAGGUGACAUCAGUAGCUUGCUGUGCCACAGGGAUGUUUGAAAUGGGGUACGCAUGCAAUCGAAACAACAUGUUCACCUGCACGGAUGCAAGCAAAUAUAUAUUCUGGGAUUCAUUUCAUCCUACAGAGAAAGCAAACCAUAUCAUCUCUGAUUAUGUGGUGAAAAAUGUACUGGCCCAGUUUCUUUGAUUCUCUUUAAUUUCAAGACCAAUGUAUGUGUCCUAUGUUUUAGUGUCAUUACAUAUAGUACAUUAAGAAACUAAGCCUAAUGUUGAUAAAAAAACAUGAUUUUGGCACUUGGCAGAAAAAUGGCAUAAAGCCUGCCCCCCCCCCCCCAAAAAAAAUUUGUGUACCCUACAGGCAACAGCAGCAACAUGCUAUGUGGAAGUACAUUGUGGCAGGGUUGGCUAUGAAUUUAAGUAAUUUUGAAUUAAGUACUUGAUAUUUGAAGGGCCAGGACCUAGUUAGGCAACUUGAGCUAGGGUGGACCACACUUGGUGUCACAUGAUAAGGUAACUAUUAAUGACACUCAGCUCUAUUUUAUUGAUCUCUAGUUAUUUAAGGAUUUCAGUAUAUUUCUUUACAAUAAGGAUAAGGUGUUCGAUGAAAUGCCUAUAAAAAAAUGAAGUGGCCAUAGUAAUAUUUUUCUUCCCCACAAAGAAAAAUCCACGGUCUCCUGUUUGUAGACGAAAUUUGGAAUAUAAGUUUCAUAUUACAAGUUAAAUAAUGCCAAGACAAACUGAGUGAUCAGAUUCAUAAUCAUCAAUGAUGAUUUAUUGGUUUAUUGGUUACGUCUAAAUUUGAUGAUCAUCAAUAAUUUGGAAGUUUAUGUUCAUCCAUGGCUUUCUCUAGAAACAGAAAGUUGGGGAAGGACGAUAAAAUCCAAAUGUUCCAUAUUAUGCAUGAGCCUCUCCUAGCUAGCAAGAUCUAGAAAUGUCCAAUUGAACAUCAAAAUUAUCUAAGUACGUACCCCACCUUUGUUUUAUUGCUUCUGGACUUGCCGAAUAUUUUGACAGGAAGAUCAAUAAUAAUUUAUGAUAUCCCACCACCAUAGUUAAUUGUAAUAAUUUAUUUGCUCGAGUUUAGGUCAAAAUUCCCUAUUUUAGAAAACUUUUAUAUAUUUUUUUUAAUGAAG